GUCGAGCGGAGAGAGGUAGCUUGCUACCGAUCUUAGCGGCGGACGGGUGAGUAAUGCUUAGGAAUCUGCCUAUUAGUGGGGGACAACAUUUCGAAAGGAAUGCUAAUACCGCAUACGUCCUACGGGAGAAAGCAGGGGAUCUUCGGACCUUGCGCUAAUAGAUGAGCCUAAGUCGGAUUAGCUAGUUGGUGGGGUAAAGGCCUACCAAGGCGACGAUCUGUAGCGGGUCUGAGAGGAUGAUCCGCCACACUGGGACUGAGACACGGCCCAGACUCCUACGGGAGGCAGCAGUGGGGAAUAUUGGACAAUGGGCGGAAGCCUGAUCCAGCCAUGCCGCGUGUGUGAAGAAGGCCUUAUGGUUGUAAAGCACUUUAAGCGAGGAGGAGGCUACUUUAGUUAAUACCUAGAGAUAGUGGACGUUACUCGCAGAAUAAGCACCGGCUAACUCUGUGCCAGCAGCCGCGGUAAUACAGAGGGUGCAAGCGUUAAUCGGAUUUACUGGGCGUAAAGCGCGCGUAGGCGGCUAAUUAAGUCAAAUGUGAAAUCCCCGAGCUUAACUUGGGAAUUGCAUUCGAUACUGGUUAGCUAGAGUGUGGGAGAGGAUGGUAGAAUUCCAGGUGUA
rnacentral:rRNA from 1 species